CCUGAGAUUGCGCAGCGGAAGCGUGGUGGGCCCAUAACCCACAGGUCCCAGGUUCUUUUCCUUGUUAAAACC
rnacentral:tRNA from 1 species